UACGUAGGGUGCGAGCGUUGUCCGGAAUUAUUGGGCGUAAAGAGCUUGUAGGCGGUUUGUCGCGUCUGCUGUGAAAAUCCGGGGCUCAACCCCGGACUUGCAGUGGGUACGGGCAGACUAGAGUGUGGUAGGGGAGGACUGGAAUUCCUGGUGUAGCGGUGAAAUGCGCAGAUAUCAGGAGGAACACCGAUGGCGAAGGCAGGUCUCUGGGCCACUACUGACGCUGAGAAGCGAAAGCAUGGGGAGCGAACAGGAUUAGAUA
rnacentral:rRNA from 1 species